rnacentral:rRNA from 1 species
GGACGAACGCUGGCGGCGUGCUUAACACAUGCAAGUCGAACGAUGAACCCGGAGCUUGCUCUGGGGGAUUAGUGGCGAACGGGUGAGUAACACGUGAGUAACCUGCCCUGGACUCUGGGAUAAGCGUUGGAAACGACGUCUAAUACCGGAUAGGACCUUGGAUCGCAUGAUCUGGGGUGGAAAGUUUUUUCGGUCUGGGAUGGACUCGCGGCCUAUCAGCUUGUUGGUGAGGUAAUGGCUCACCAAGGCGUCGACGGGUAGCCGGCCUGAGAGGGUGACCGGCCACACUGGGACUGAGACACGGCCCAGACUCCUACGGGAGGCAGCAGUGGGGAAUAUUGCACAAUGGGCGAAAGCCUGAUGCAGCAACGCCGCGUGCGGGAUGACGGCCUUCGGGUUGUAAACCGCUUUUAGUAGGGAAGAAGGGCUUCGGCUUGACGGUACCUGCAGAAAAAGGACCGGCUAACUACGUG